rnacentral:rRNA from 1 species
GCGGGAUUAGUUUGAUCCUGGCUCAGAUUGAACGCUGGCGGAAUGCUUUACACAUGCAAGUCGAGCGGCAGCGCGGGGGCAACCCUGGCGGCGAGCGGCGAACGGGUGAGUAACAUAUCGGAACGUACCCAGUCGUGGGGGAUAACUAUCCGAAAGGAUAGCUAAUACCGCAUACGACCUGAGGGUGAAAGCGGGGGACCGUAAGGCCUCGCGCGAUUGGAGCGGCCGAUAUCGGAUUAGCUAGUUGGUGAGGUAAAGGCUCACCAAGGCGACGAUCCGUAGCUGGUCUGAGAGGACGACCAGCCACACUGGAACUGAGACACGGUCCAGACUCCUACGGGAGGCAGCAGUGGGGAAUUUUGGACAAUGGGGGCAACCCUGAUCCAGCCAUUCCGCGUGAAGGACGAAGGCGCUCAGCGUUGUAAACUUCUUUUGUACGGGAACAAAACCACCAAUGCGUUGGUGUCUGAGGGUACCGUAAGAAUAAGCACCGGCUAACUCCGUGCCAGCAGCCGCGGUAAUACGUAGGGUGCAAGCGUUAAUCGGAAUUACUGGGCGUAAAGCGUGCGCAGGCGGUUCGGAAAGAAGGAUGUGAAAUCCCAGGGCUUAACCUUGGAACUGCAUUCUUAACUACCGGGCUAGAGUGUGUCAGAGGGAGGUGGAAUUCCGCGUGUAGCAGUGAAAUGCGUAGAUAUGCGGAGGAACACCGAUGGCGAAGGCAGCCUCCUGGGACAACACUGACGCUCAUGCACGAAAGCGUGGGGAGCAAACAGGAUUAGAUACCCUGGUAGUCC